GACGAACGCUGGCGGCGUGCCUAAUACAUGCAAGUUGAGCGCUGAAGGUUGGUACUUGUACCAACUGGAUGAGCAGCGCACGGGUGAGUAACGCGUGGGGAAUCUGCCUUUGAGCGGGGGACAACAUUUGGAAACGAAUGCUAAUACCGCAUAAAAACUUUAAACACAAGUUUUAAGUUUGAAAGAUGCCAUUGCAUCACUCAAAGAUGAUCCCGCGUUGUAUUAGCUAGUUGGUGAGGUAAAGGCUCACCAAGGCGAUGAUACAUAGCCGACCUGAGAGGGUGAUCGGCCACAUUGGGACUGGGACACGGCCCAAACGCCUACGGGAGGCAGCAGUAGGGAAUCUUCGGCAAUGGACGAAAGUCUGACCGAGCAACGCCGCGUGAGUGAAGAAGGUUUUCGGAUCGUAAAACUCUGUUGGUAGAGAAGAACGUUGGUGAGAGUGGAAAGCUCAUCAAGUGACGGUAACUACCCAGAAAGGGACGGCUAACUACGUG
rnacentral:rRNA from 1 species